AACGAACGCUGGCGGCAGGCUUAACACAUGCAAGUCGAACGGGUGUAGCAAUACAUCAGUGGCAGACGGGUGAGUAACACGUGGGAACCCUCCUAGAGGUACGGAACAACUCAGGGAAACUUGAGCUAAUACCGUAUACGCUCGUGAGAGGAAAGAUUUAUCGCCUUUAGACGGGCCCGCGUCGGAUUAGCUAGUUGGUGAGGUAACGGCUCACCAAGGCGACGAUCCGUAGCUGAUCUGAGAGGAUGAUCAGCCACACUGGAACUGAGACACGGUCCAGACUCCUACGGGAGGCAGCAGUGGGGAAUCUUGGACAAUGGGCGCAAGCCUGAUCCAGCCAUGCCGCGUGAGUGAAGAAGGCCUUCGGGUUGUAAAGCUCUUUUGUCAGGGACGAUAAUGACGGUACCUGAAGAAUAAGCCCCGGCAAACUUCGUGCCAGCAGCCGCGGUAA
rnacentral:rRNA from 1 species